rnacentral:rRNA from 1 species
UGGGGAAUUUUGCACAAUGGGGGCAACCCUGAUGCAGCGACGCCGCGUGAUUUAGAAGGCCUUCGGGUUGUAAAAAUCUUUUGUAUGGGAAGAAAAUGACAGUACCAUACGAAUAAGGACCGGCUAAUUACGUGCCAGCAGCCGCGGUAAUACGUAAGGUCCGAGCGUUGUCCGGAAUCAUUGGGCGUAAAGGGUACGUAGGCGGAUAAGCAAGUUAGAAGUGAAAUCCUAUAGCUCAACUAUAGUAAGCUUUUAAAACUGCUUAUCUUGAGGUAUGGAAGGGAAAGUGGAAUUCCUAGUGUAGCGGUGAAAUGCGCAGAUAUUAGGAGGAAUACCGGUGGCGAAGGCGACUUUCUGGCCAUAAACUGACGCUGAGGUACGAAAGCGUGGGUAGCAAACAGG